CAAAUACUCCCUCCGUCCGGAAAUACUUGUCAUCAAGAUGAAUAAAAGAGGAUGUAUCUAGAUGUAUUUUAGUUCUAGAUACACCCCUUCUUAUCCAUUUUGAUGACAAGUAUUUCCGGACGGAGGGAGUAUGAA
rnacentral:pre_miRNA from 1 species